rnacentral:rRNA from 1 species
UGGGGAAUAUUGGACAAUGGGGGAAACCCUGAUCCAGCAAUGCCGCGUGAGUGAAGAAGGCCUUAGGGUUGUAAAGCUCUUUCGCCCGCGAAGAUAAUGACGGUAGCGGGAGAAGAGGCUGCGGCUAACUACGUGCCAGCAGCCGCGGUAAUACGUAGGCAGCAAGCGUUGUUCGGAGUUACUGGGCGUAAAGAGUGCGUAGGCGGUUUUCUAAGUUCGGUGUGAAAUCUCCCGGCUUAACUGGGAGGGUGCGCCGAAGACUGGGAAGCUGGAGUGUGGGAAAGGCAGGCGGAAUUCCUGGUGUAGCGGUGAAAUGCGUAGAUAUCAGGAGGAACACCGGCGGUGUAGACGGCUUGCUAGACCAUAACUGACGCUGAGGCACGAAAGCGUGGGUAGCAAACA